rnacentral:rRNA from 1 species
UACGAAGGGGGCUAGCGUUGCUCGGAAUCACUGGGCGUAAAGCGCACGUAGGCGGCUUGUUAAGUCAGGGGUGAAAUCCUGGAGCUCAACUCCAGAACUGCCUUUGAUACUGGCGAGCUUGAGUCCGGGAGAGGUGAGUGGAACUGCGAGUGUAGAGGUGAAAUUCGUAGAUAUUGGCAAGAACACCAGUGGCGAAGGCGGCUCACUGGCCCGGUACUGACGCUGAGGUGCGAAAGCGUGGGGAGCAAACAGG